rnacentral:rRNA from 1 species
CCUACGGGUGGCAGCAGUGAGGAAUAUUGGUCAAUGGACGAGAGUCUGAACCAGCCAAGUAGCGUGAAGGAUGACUGCCCUAUGGGUUGUAAACUUCUUUUAUACAGGAAUAAAACGAGGCACGUGUGCCUUAUUGUAUGUAUUUUAUGAAUAAGGAUCGGCUAACUCCGUGCCAGCAGCCGCGGUAAUACGGAGGAUCAGAGCGUUCUCCGGAUUUAUUGGGUUUAAAGGGAGAGUAGAUGGGUUGUUAGUGCAGUUGUGAAAGGUUGGGGCUCAACCGUCACAUGGCAAUGGAUACUGGCAGGCUUGAGUACAGUUGAGGUAGGCGGAAUUCGUGGUGUAGCGGUGAAAUGCUUAGAUAUCACGAAGAACCCCGAUUGCGAAGGCAGCUUACUAAACUGUGACUGACAUUGAGGCUCGAAAGUGUGGGUAGCAAACAGGAUUAGAUACCCGAGUAGUC